AUGUUCGGAGUUAACUGUAAGACAGUUGAUAUUUUUACACUCCCGUCGCGGACAGAGCUGGUGGCAUCACAGGGACACGGGCACAGAUGGAGAUGCUCCUCUUCAGUGGCUGGGAAAGUCUUGGAUUCUGCCCCCUGUGUCGUGAGAACAGCUGUAAACUACCAGCGCCUGGCUGGCUGGCUCCAGGCCCCCCGGGGAGACCAUCCUGCCCCCCGGCCCGGCCCGGAGCCUGGCUUUGCUCCCGAGGGCUCCCCACUCCCCGGAGAUGCCACGCUUGCCAACACUCGCAGCUCCGCAGGGGAGCCCCAGAGGCCGGAGACACACCCUUCCACCAGCUUCGGUGAAGAGGAAAUGGAGGAUGCCACUCACCCUCCCCCGGUGUCUCACAGACCCUGCAGAGCUGGGAAGAAGGGAGGCCCACGGCCAAGCUGGAAGUGAGGAGGAUACAGGGAAUGAGGAUUAGGCUCGAGCCCACAGCCAAAGUCCAUGCACAAAGCCCAGAGCCUGAGGUCCAAGCCACUCAGGCGAAAUCGCCAGAGCCGGCGGGCUGCCUGGCCUCUGCCUCAGCACCCCCAUCUGUCCACCGGGAGGGGAGUGGGGAAUCCAGCAAGGGCAGCCUGAGAACUGCUGGGGCCUGGAUGACCUCGAUGCAUUAGCCUCAUUCAUUCAUUCAGGUGCUGACUAAGUGCCUACUGUGUGCCAGGCACCAGGAAUUCAGCAGUCAGUUGAGAACUGCUGGGACCCACUGGUUUUUGCUGAGUGGCAAAAAACCAUAUGGAUAAAUCCAUACAUACAAAGUCCAAGGUGACCGUGUGUAGGAGUGUGUGAGUGCAUCCCGUUCCACAGUGGGCUCUCGGCUUAGAGGAAAGAAACCUGUGGGCAUUCAGUGAUCAGAGCCAGUCCUCCUGGCCCCAGGGAUGUCCCUCUCCAACUGCAGUGGCAUUUUAGCCUAGGGCCCCUGCCUGGCAGCUGGCAUGUGUGCUAGGGCUGGGGGAGGAUCAGCUCCUGCCCCAACUCAGUGCUGAGCUGAACUGUGGAGUCACAUAGAAACAUCUGGGCUGGGAUCCCUGGGUGGUGCAGCGGUUUAGCGCCUGCCUUUGGCCCAGGGCACAAUCCUGGAGACCCGGGAUUGAAUCCCACGUCGGGCUCCUGGUGCAUGGAGCCUGCUUCUCCCUCUGCCUAUGUCUCUGCCUCUCUCUCUCUCUGUGACUACCAUAAAUAAAUAAAAAUAAAAAUAAAGAAACA
rnacentral:lncRNA from 12 species